AACUUUCAAAGAUUUGCUCAAGGACAUUUCCACAAUCACAAAACAUACAAAUAACUUAUUUGGUUCUGCCUCCUCUUUAAGUCAUAAUCUUUUGUUUAUGUUACAGUCUUUCUGUAACAGCUGACAUGAUGCCAGAAUCACUACUGCAGAAAAUUCACCAUGUUAAUACACCCUUCAAAAUGCUACAUAUGUCUUUGAACCUACUGAGAGAAAGGGGGAAUAUGAAAUGAAGUUCUUCAUGCUCUACAUUCAACCUCCAGAACGUUGCAAGAAAAAUUGCCACUGAGAAGCAACACCAGCAGCCCAGCUUUGAAUGUGACUCUGCCAACAUGCUGGAAGUUAGAUACACGAAUAUUUAUCAUUCCUAGGAUUUAGUGGAUUUACAAGUAGAAACCUUACUAGAGGUGUUUGCUGAGCUUUACUGUGACUCUGCUCAGAUUUGUAAAAAUGAGCUGGAUUUUCCCAUACUUAGACCCUUUCCAUGUUUGGAAAAUAAGAAUUGUAAACUGAUAGCAUGUGCAGUUUUCAUUCUUUCCAGCAAAGUGAUUUUAAGGAUCAAAGUUCUUUACUGUGAUGCUGAAAUUCUCCUUCUCCUUCCUGCGUUUUUGGAGCAGUGUCUUAGUCUGUAGGAUUAGUUUCUUUUUUGUCUGGCCUAGAUCACAUUCCUGCAGGGAGUACAUGACAAAUUUAAUAAUUUUCCCCAGCUUUGCUUAGGAUUUGGACAUGGGGGCAGCUUCUAACACUUAUUCAGUGUUACACUUGGACAAAAGUAAAUAAGAUAAUCUCUUUCAAAACCUGUGACAAGAACAGUUUAUAAACUAGCAAAAUGUAAAAGCAAAGUCUACGUAUCUUACCAAACUAAUGUUUCUACCCCUCUGAAAAAAAAAACCAAACCACCAAACCAAAAGAGAAAAGUAAGGAGAGAGAACUGGUCUAAUUUUUGAACUAUCGUUUUUCAUUAUAUUAGAG